UACAGAGGUCUCAAGCGUUGUUCGGAUUCAUUGGGCGUAAAGAGCGUGUAGGCGGCCUGGUAAGUCCGCUGUGAAAGUCCAGGGCUCAACCCUGGAAUGCCGGUGGAAACUGUCAGGCUCGAGUCCGGAAGAGGCGAGUGGAAUUCCCGGUGUAGCGGUGAAAUGCGCAGAUAUCGGGAGGAACACCAAUGGCGAAGGCAGCUCGCUGGGACGUUACUGACGCUGAGACGCGAAAGCGUGGGGAGCGAACAGG
rnacentral:rRNA from 1 species